rnacentral:miRNA from 10 species
CAGUCAAAGCUGCUGUGAACUG